GACGAACGCUGGCGGCGUGCUUAACACAUGCAAGUCGAACGGAAAGGCCCUGCUUUUGUGGGGUGCUCGAGUGGCGAACGGGUGAGUAACACGUGAGUAACCUGCCCUUGACUUUGGGAUAACUUCAGGAAACUGGGGCUAAUACCGGAUAGGAGCUCCUGCUGCAUGGUGGGGGUUGGAAAGUUUCGGCGGUUGGGGAUGGACUCGCGGCUUAUCAGCUUGUUGGUGGGGUAGUGGCUUACCAAGGCUUUGACGGGUAGCCGGCCUGAGAGGGUGACCGGCCACAUUGGGAAUGAGAUACGGCACAGACGCCUACGGGGGGCAGCAGGGGGGAAUAUUGCACAAUGGGCGGAAGCGUGAUGCAGCAACGCCGAGUGCGGGAUGACGGCCUUCGGGUUGUAAACCGCUUUCGCCUGUGACGAAGCGUGGGUGACGGUAAUGGGUAAAGAAGCACCGGCUAACUACGU
rnacentral:rRNA from 1 species